ensembl:lncRNA
AACCUCUCUCCUCCUGACAGUGCGAGUGAUAGCUGAGCGGAAACUGACCCCAGCUGACACACUCAUCUUAAAAUAUCUCUGUCUCCCUGCGGCCCAGAUAAAAUAGCUGUCGCACUAAAAGUAAGGGCUCCACUCGGGGGGACGCUGGCUUCUCCCAGGACUGGUGAUGGAGUGGCCUGUGAUGUCAGGGUUCAGCCGAAGUCCAAAUCAAAAGGACCCUAAGAAACCGGCCCUAGAUGAAUUGUGUUCCGAAAGCGGCUUGGUGUUCAACUUCCCAAGGCUGGGCCGGGAAGAACGAGGACGGAGGGGCCCCCGCCGACCUCCUGUUCCGUCCACGCGCGCAGAAAGCCUGGUACGAUGUGUUGGCUCCAAUUUACUCCGUCUUCCGUGGCGCACGCCUCAAAGGCUCCGGUUCCUCAUCUUGCUCAUUCCUUACGGCCCGGAAGGAGAGGUGUUACGGACUCCCUCCUCCGGACAGGGAAGCUAAGGGCCAGAGAAGCUGGGCCGCACAGCUGCUGGAGGCGAAGGUUUGCCAAAGCCCACGUGUUCCCACAAUGACCGCGUGCAGCUGCCCGCCCUUGUAGCCCGGCCACCCCCAAACUCCCCCGAUGAGCCGAGCUCCUGGCCGCACGAGGAGGCUGUGGGACGAGUCCCUCUGUGCCUGGGGUGAGGGGUAGGCCCUCCCUAGCGGAGGGAAGGCCUCAGCAGGCCCCUCUCUGCAGCGUCCAGCUACUGGGGAAUAUGCUCCAAUCCUUCCAUGAAUCCAGCUCCUUCCGUGGUCCUGACUGAAGUGCAGAAUGCCCUCCUUCACAAACCCAUUUGUCAUGGGAGUUGGUUAAGAAAGAAAGGAAGCAAAAAAAAGAAAGAAAAGAAGAAAAGAAAAGAAAAGAAAAGAAAAGAAAAGAAAAGAAAAGAAAAAGAAAGGAAAGAAAAGAAAAAGAAAAGAAAAGAAAAGAAAAGAAAAGAAAAGAAAAGAAAAGAAAAGAAAAGAAAAAGGCUGAUGGCUUAAUGGCAUCUGUGGGAGGCAGGAAGGGGCUGACCCAGCCUGGCCACCCUUGGCUCGGCGGGACCAGGAGAACUGCUGCUCUUUGUCCCCGACACAGGAGCUCUCCAAGGAGCAUCAGGAGACUCCGGGAGGGACUGGGAGGGGGUCACAAUGCCGGGAAAGCAGUCGCCCGAGCCCGGGGUCUUAGGACAGUGAUGUGGCCCGUUGUGUGAAACCAUCAGCCUCCGGAGGGAAGGGGAGACCCAGGGAAAUUUCCACUCGCAUUCAGCUCGCCAGGGGCUGCUCACCAGGGCUGCUCUGGCUUCAGGGUCAGAGGCAAAGCAAGGGGGCAACUUUGUCCAUCUCUGAGCAGAAUCCUCCCACCCCGAGAGGCAACGGAGCAAAUCCCAGGGGACAGAGGGUGGUGUGGGAGAGGCAACCUGAGGGGCUCACCCAUCCCCCCGCAUCAAGACUGUCCCCAGUGUGGGAAUGGAGUGUCAUCACUCUGUUCCUCUGCCAUGUGACUCACGGCAGGGGUAGAGCUCAGACCCUGUGCCAGGCAGCCACGAUGUCACCUGCAGAGAGAGGGGUUAUGCUUA